CAACGACCCGCACCUGCAUCUCGUCAACCUCCUCCUCUGCCUGCCACACCUGCCAGCAAUGAACUCCACUUCUGCCAGUACUUCAACCCCGGUUCUCCACACUACCUCUGCUUGAUCGUCGUUGCUCCAAACCUGGUUCACUCACCCUCACCCUCAUCCUCCGUCUAAUCAGCUGUGCUCGCUCACCUGCCCUCUCCCCUCGGGCUUCCCCCCACGGCGUCCUCCCAGUCCUCCCGUGCCUCCUAUCUUCCUUGGCCCCCAGUGUCCCCCUGGCUCUCUGGUCUCAGUCUCCUCGGUUCCCCGUGCCUGCAUUUCCCCGGCAUUCACCUCUCCCUCGACUCCAGUCCCUCAACCCCUUUUUUCCCAAUAAAACCAGUUAAACCUUA